AUUGAACGCUGGCGGCAAGCCUAACACAUGCAAGUCGAACGAGUGGCGGACGGGUGAGUAAUGUCUGGGAAACUGCCCGAUGGAGGGGGAUAACUACUGGAAACGGUAGCUAAUACCGCAUACCAUCGGAUGUGCCCAACUGGGAUUAGCUAGUAGGUGGGGUAAAGGCUCACCUAGGCGACGAUCCCUAGCUGGUCUGAGAGGAUGACCAGCCACACUGGAACUGAGACACGGUCCAGACUCCGACGGGAGGCAGCAGUGGGUAAUAUUCGGCAAUGGGCGAAAGUCUGAUGCAGCCAUGCCGCGUGUAUGAAGAAGGCCUUCGGGUUGUAAAGUACUUUCAGCGGGGAGGCGUUACCCGCAGAAGAAGCACCGGCUAACUACGUGCCAGCCGCCGCGGUAAUAC
rnacentral:rRNA from 1 species